AGUCAUUUUUUUCACUUCACCAAUUUGGACAAUUUUGUGUUCGUCCAUUACAUGAAAUCCAAAUCCAUUUAAAUGACACGUUGUUAUGUAACAAAAUAGGUAAAACGCCAAGGUGGAUGAAUACUUUUGCACCUCACUGUACAUUUAUUAAAUGCCUUUUAACAUGGUGAAAAAAAUAGAACAUAUAAACACCAUGAAAGUAGAGCAUUUGAUCACAACCUGGAAGAACACAUUGUGCAUGCAUCCCCUGAAUAGGAAAAUGGUCCAAGUAGAAAGACAUACACCAUGUGUAGCAUUAGAGCAGAGCAUCAAAAGAUCUAUCAGGUUUCAGAGGGCAGCAACUGAAAAUGUUUCAUAGAAUAAAGUGUGGGUCUUUAUUAUAAUGUUUCAUAGGACAGGAUAAAGUGUGGGUCUUUAUUCUAUAAUAUGUUCUCCGUUAUUGAGGGUGUUGCUAAUCAGGCGAUGGUUGUUAAGGCGGUGUCUUACAGAGGAGUGUCAGUUUUGAUUGAAGAGGAGUGUGACGUAGACCCCAGAUGUCUGCAGACUACAGGGGUGAGUCCAUAUACACUACUAACUAUAGCAGGACACGGUCCGUAAGAAUGUCAGGUCCUCAUUUGGGUCCUGGUCACAGGAGUAGCUAGAAAGGCUGCCUUUCUGCUGACUUCUGUAGUCUACAUCACACUCCUCUUACACAUACAGAGAGAAAAAACAACAUGGCUGCUGUUUAAAUUAACUGUUGAGUACUAUAAAAAAAAACUAAAAUCAGGGUCAAUAACGGGGGUAGAGGACAUAAUAGUUUAUGGUUAUCUGCAACCACUACACUACUAAAUUUACUAUAAAAUAGGAAACCUUAAGCAUAGACCAACAUCCAGCUGAAUUCAAUAAAAUGUGAGAUUAAACCUUACACACAUUUGUAAUUACUCCGGAGGAAGAUGUGGCUGAGAAACAUCAGGCGUACGGACAUCAGUCUGCAGAAGUCCUUUGAGGACCUGAAGAAAGGGGGUUACGCUGUGUGCGAGGAGCACUUCGAAGAGUUUUAUUCUGAUUAUUAUCUUUGUCCAAAAAAAAAAGAAUCAGUCAUGAUAUUUUCGGGUAAAAAUGUCUUUCAACAGAGUUCACGGAAGACACUGUCCUCUGAGGCAGUACCUACCAGAAUACAUUGCAUGAAUCCACCCCCUCAAUCUGCAACAAAUGCACGGCGUAGUGGAAAAAGAAGCCAACCACAAAGCCCUCCAUUCCCAAACCUGAAGCCCCCUGUCCCCAGCAGGAAAGACCAGGAAAAAGUGUUGGCUUAAGUUACUUGAUGUGGAAUGGAGUUCCAUGUAGUCAUGGCCUGGAGUGGGUGACAGGUAACCAUCUUUCCACCAAGCUGUUCCAGGCCUGGAGUGGCAUGCUGGAACUUCCAGAGGCUUGUAGACCUGAAGCAGUGUGAUGUGGUCCAGUUCCUCUCUCUUUUAGAUUUGACACCCCUAUUAGCUCAACCACAGUCUUCACAGCUGCAGUUGUCUGCUCCUGUAUCUGCUACCCCAGCCACGACAGGUGGUACAGAUCUGCCACCCCCAGUAGUUCAGCUGCAGUCACAGCAGUCCUCUGCUGGGGUAUUUCAUUUACUGGCUGCACCAGUUCCUACUACACUGGCCGUGAAGGGAGAAACUUUUGAGGAGACCCAGAUGGAUACAGGUAAUUCAGAAUUAUAUUGCAUAUGCUCAGUCACACCAACAGAUGUACACACAGACAUGUUGUUGAGCUGUGUACUUACUGUCACUUUGUGCAAGUCCACCACUGCCUGACAGCCUCACCCAAAAGACACUGGUUCUAUCAAGACUAUCAAGCAGAGAUGGCUGGCUGACAAGGAAAAAUAAAACAACAGGCACUCACACACAUUAUCCACAAUGUAAAUAACUUGUAAUUACUUGUUUAAUCUUUGCUCCAUUUUAUUUUAGGAUUGGAGAUAUCUACUCCUUCAUAUCCAUUCUCAAUAUCUACAUAAUUACUCUAAAUAUCUAUCAAAUCAGUGUAAUUGACAAUAUUGUAAAAGACUGUGACUUAAUGUGUACAGUUAGAGGAAAUUCUGUGUGCUUUUUUCUGAGUUGAAAAACAUGUCUCCCUCACACACACAUUGUGUCUAAUUUAAAUAAGUUGUAAUAACUUGUUUAUUUUAUGUAUGCUCCAUUUUAUUUUAGAAAAAUAUCAGCAAUAAAGUACAUUCACAGUUAAAGCAA